AAAAUGCUUAAAUGCCAUAUUUCGUUUCACUUGAUCAGUUUGAGCAUUUGCUAGCACUUGUACUUAUUGCUAUACACACAUGACAACACCACCUAGAGCAUCUUUUCAAUAUGAUUGCUAUACUCCUGAAGCUUCUGCAUUUGUGCAUUCCUUGCAUUCAUAGCAUGAUUUGAGGGGGAGUUGCACUCCUUUGGGCAAAUCUUGAUAAGUGCAUGUGUCAACAAGGGGGAGAAAGUUACACACAAAAAGAGAGACAUGCAUUUAUUUGAGAGAGAUUGCAUUUGCUCAGGGGGAGUUGCCUUUAAGUUGCUUUUGCUAGAUGUGUUGAGCCUUUGCCUCUUCUGGAGGGUCUAGUUGUUUUCAGGCCUUUCGAGCUUUGCUAGCGGUGUUGAGCCCGUUUGCCUCUUCUUGAGGGCUAGCUAUGUUUUACUUGGUUGUGUCGAGCCUUUGCCCAUGUCUUUGGGGACCAAGUUUUUGCCAAGCGUUGCUCACUUCAAAUGAUCCUGUUUUGGCUUUCUCUGGCUUUUGGUCAUUUGGGUGAGUUCUUCCUUCCUCUUUCUCUAUUUCUUCUUUUGCUCAAGCUGUUCGUGUGAGGAUGUUGACAAUGCACUCAUCAAGGGGGAGAUUGCGAACACAAGGUCGAGAAGUACCCUUGUGGUACGUUUUGUGAUGAGUGAUUGUCAACGUGAUCCACGAAUAGGUUGAGUUGGUGACUAACAUUACCAUGGCGAAAGCUAUGUGUGCGACAUGUCUCUUGGCUUGUGGUGUUCAGCUAUGGAGCUCGGAGGCGGUGGUCAACGGCGAGGUGAAGGUCAAGUAGAGACGUGCCGUGCUGAUG
rnacentral:lncRNA from 1 species